ensembl:lncRNA
CUGGACGACGGCAGGAGUGAGGAGCCGGACCAGACGUGGGGCUGAUGGGUGUGACCUGAGGAUUGCGGUCCCCCACCCGAAUCUGCAGCUGGCCUGGGCUGCCGGGUCCAAAUAGACCAUUUCCACGUCCGAAGGACCGGAAGAAAUAUGAGUGAAAACAAUGAAGAAUUCAACCUCAACCUUAUUACAGGCCCUUGGCUUCGCACAUCAAGAUCUGAUCUGGUUCACAGCUCUUUCUAAGUCUGAGGAUGCACUGUUCACACCGAGGAGAACUUACUCUCAGUGGAUGUGGAAACAACCUCUUCUCCAACUCAAGUACCCUUUCAAGAGUCCGCCUUCCUCACCUAGCCUGCAGAUGGGUAAGGUUUAGACAGGAAACCUGGCUGGUCAUUUGAAAUAAAG